CUCCACUCUUUUCUCUCUAAUCUCUAUGUCCACUGGUCGUAUCAUCUUCUUCAGUUCACAAGCUCACAUCACGCACGCGAAGCCCUGCCCAACCCAAGCAUCAUCUUCUUCGAUUUCUUCGUUCACACAGUCACUCACACAGACAUAGGUCAGCAGCUCUGUUUCUAAUUCAGGCUCAACAACUCUGUUUCUUCUUCUUCUUCUUCAUCAUUUUCCAGAUUCUUCUUAAAGGAGGAAGCAUCUUUCUUCAUAUAGCAGAUUGUGUUCCGCUAUUUUCUGCAAGCAUGUCAAAAUACUAACAUGCAAAAGAAAGGGAUCUGUUUCAUCAUAUUGACAAGAACAAUUAGCUAUUAACUUUUCCUAUAGCAUUCUUUAGACUAAUUAACUGUCAUUACUACUACAGAGAUUGUUCUUGGAUAACCAAUUGGAAAGGCUGAACUUCUGAUAGAAGUUGUAAACAUAGUUCAUUACUCAUAUCUUAUACAUCAAAUAUGCUACUGAAUUUAUUUUUAAAGUUACUAGCAACUUAUUCUUUU